rnacentral:rRNA from 1 species
AAGCGCUGCCGCGGUCCUAAUACAUCCAAGUGGAGGGAGCAUAUGAGGAGCUUGCUCCUCUGACGUUAGCGGCGGACGGGUGAGUAACACGUGGAUAACCUACCUAUAAGACUGGGAUAACUUCGCGAAACCGGUAGCUAAUACCGGAUAAUAUAUUUCUCGCAUGGUUCAAUAGUGAAAGGCGGUUUUUCUGUGUCUUAUAGAUGGAUCCGCGCCGCAUUAAUAGUUGGUAAGGUAACGGCUUCCAAGGCAGCGAUGCGUAGCCGGCCUGAGAGAGGUGAUCGGCCACACUGGGACUGAGACACGGUCCAAGCUCCUUCGGGAGGCAGCAGUAGGGAAUUUUUCGCAAUGGGCGAAAACCUGGCGGAGCAACCCCGCGUGAGUGAUGAAGGUUUUUGGAUUGUAAAACUUUGUUAUUCAGGAAGAACAAAUGUGUAAGUAACUAUGCACGUGUUUGCGGUUCCUAAUCAGAAAACCCCGGCUAACUUCGUUCCCACCACCGCGGUUAUUCGUAGGGGGCCAACGUUAUCCGGAAUUUUUGGGGGUAAAACCCGCGUCGGCGGUUUUUUAAAUUUGAGGGGAAAACCCUCGGCUCCACCGUGGAGGGUCAUUGGAAACUGGACAACUUGAGUGCAGAAGAGGAAAGUGGAAUUCCAUGUGUAGCGGUGAAAUGCGCAGAGAUAUGGAGGAACACCAGUGGCGAAGGCGACUUUCUGGUCUGUAACUGACGCUGAGGUGCGAAAGCGUGGGGAUCAAACAGGAUUAGAUACCCUGGUAGUCCACGCCGUAAACGAUGAAUGCUAAGUGUUAGGGGGUUUCCAUCCCCUUAGUGCUGCAGCUAACGCAUUAAGCACUCCGC